rnacentral:rRNA from 1 species
AAUACCGCAUAUGCCAUAACCAUCACAUGAUAGUAGUGGGAAAGGAGUAAUCCGCUAACAGAUGGGCUCGCGUCUGAUUAGAUAGUUGGUGGGGUAACGGCCUACCAAGUCUACGAUCAGUAGCCGGACUGAGAGGUUGAACGGCCACAUUGGGACUGAGAUACGGCCCAGACUCCUACGGGAGGCAGCAGUCGGGAAUAUUGCGCAAUGGAGGAAACUCUGACGCAGUGACGCCGCGUAUGGGAAGAAGGUCUUCGGAUUGUAAACUAUUGUCGUUAGGGAAGAAAAAGGACAGUACCUAAGGAGGAAGCUCCGGCUAACUACGUGCCAGCAGCCGCGGUAAUACGUAGGGAGCAAGCGUUAUCCGGAUUUAUUGGGUGUAAAGGGUGCGUAGACGGGAUAAUAAGUUAGUUGUGAAAUCCCUCGGCUCAACUGAGGAACUGCAACUAAAACUGUUAUUCUUGAGUGUUGGAGAGGAAAGCGGAAUUCCUAGUGUAGCGGUGAAAUGCGUAGAUAUUAGGAGGAACACCAGUGGCGAAGGCGGCUUUCUGGACAAUAACUGACGUUGAGGCACGAAAGUGUGGGGAGCAAACAGGAUUAGAUACCCUGGUAGUCCACACCGUAAACGAUGAAUACUAGGUGUAGGUUAUGUCAUGUAAUCUGUGCCGUCGC